ACUGCUGAGCCAUCUCUCCAGCCCCCUCAUUUUAAUUUUUUAAAAAUUAUUUUACUGGGGCUGGAGAGGUGGCUCAGCAGU
rfam:Cricetulus griseus cell line CHO-K1, whole genome shotgun sequence.